CAGGGAAACAGGAGAACUGAUCUACACUCUGACUUAACCUAGAUAGAUAGAUAGAUAGGUGUAAAUAGGAAAGAUGGUAGAAUUGAAUAAGAAUAAUAUUAAAGGUAAGAUAACAAUGGGUGAUAAUAGGGGAAUAGAGACUAGAGCAAUCUAAUAUAUGAGCGUUGGUAGGAGAAUAGAGAGGAUAACUAUGGUUUCUCUACUUCAAAGGGGUAUGUCUAUGUCUGGGACGAACCACGUGAUAAGAUUACACCACAAAGGAUGCUUAUCCAUAGGCCGAUAAACCCUACCAGUCCUGCUAACGGGAGGUGGACUACAGAGGACCAACGUAGUUGUCACCCACGCGGCCUACCACAUGAUCCGGCUAGACAGGGGAUAUCCACAAGUAAUCUAGGCCUAAGCACCAUGCUUACACCUAUACUACAACUCUCACCUAUAGCGUCCUAUAGAUUAAAGUACC
rnacentral:lncRNA from 1 species